AAUGUCGAGCCAAGAAAAAGAAAGGGGAAAAGUAGUAGUAUAUCCAAUACGGGGAGUAUUUAUAAAAGAUGACCAUUCCUGCUGAGGACUACCAGAAAAGACCCUCGCUUAACAAUUCAAUCAAUGUCGAACGAAGUCCCAGAGAAACAACCGUGCGACACGGCGGAGCAUGACCCGACCAGUGUCGCCGUCGACGGCGAUGACGACAACAGCGACACAUCAAAUUCUGCCUUAGCGAAGGGGCUUUCUACUAUAAUUUCUUCUAUAAUCCGGGAAUUUGAUGACAGCGCUGCCGCCACUUCUCGUAGUCAAGAUCAGCUCUCAUCCACUCUCGAUCGUCUCACUGGAGAGCUUGACAAACUGCUGGAGGAUGCCCCAUUGCCUUUUAUUAUGCAGCAUGCUGCUAGAAUUUCUGGUGUUAGGAAAAGAAUUACAUCAUUGAAUUCACUUUUGAAGUCUAUACAAAGGCGUCUUGAUAAUAUCGAUCACAAAUUAUCUGCUGGCUUGAUACACGAGAAGUCAACAGGGGAUGGUGGGCGAGACCAUGAGAACCAUAACAGUCUUCAUUGACGAGUUCAUGAUCAAGAGCCUGGAGAAGAUUCAAAUCGCUUUCUCAGUGCCAGUAAAAUCUCCUUUUGAUUGCAAGCAUUUGUAACUGAUUCAGUUUACGAAAUGUGCAUUUUCAGCUUGCGCCAGAGUAUGUCCGAGUUGCCCAGGAAAGGGAAACAUGGAAAAUGUGUGGCAACUGGUUAGCAGCUCAGCUAGUGUAGGCCUGUAGGUGCAAUUUGAAGGGUGUAUCUUUCUGAACUUAUUCAUAUAUUCUGCUCUUAAAGAUGCUUGUUCUUUCACGCCUAGCAGUAUUCAACGGUCAUCUACUACUUGCUUGCUUUACGUUAUGAAUCUGCUAUCUGUUCUCGGAAACCGAACCAAUGGCCAAUUGUCUUUUUGAAGCAGAUUUCCAAUACAACUUUAGUUUGCCGCGCAUUUACAAUCAUUUUUCCUCCUGCAACUUUGUCUUAUAAAGCAAUUUCUUCCUCUUACAUCAAACUUUAGACGUUAUUCUCCUCCUACCUUAAGCAAUAUUGUAGCUGUUUUGCCCUCAAAUUAGCAUUCCCUUCUUUAUGUAACAGAUUAUCUAAUAUCUUAAGUUGUUUUUUUCGUCUUAA